GACGAACGCUGGCGGCGUGCUUAACACAUGCAAGUCGAACGGAAAGGCCCUGCUUUUGUGGGGUGCUCGAGUGGCGAACGGGUGAGUAACACGUGAGUAACCUGCCCUUGACUUUGGGAUAACUUCAGGAAACUGGGGCUAAUACCGGAUAGGAGCUCCUGCUGCAUGGUGGGGGUUGGAAAGUUUCGGCGGUUGGGGAUGGACUCGCGGCUUAUCAGCUUGUUGGUGGGGUAGUGGCUUACCAAGGCUUUGACGGGUAGCCGGCCUGAGAGGGUGACCGGCAACAUUGGGACUGAGAUACGGCCCAGACUCCUACGGGAGGCAGCAGGGGGGAAUAUUGCACAAUGGGCGGAAGCCUGAUGCAGCAACGCCGCGUGCGGGAUGACGGCCUUCGGGUUGUAAACCGCUUUCGCCUGUGACGAAGCGUGAGUGACGGUAAUGGGUAAAGAAGCACCGGCUGACUACGU
rnacentral:rRNA from 1 species